GACAGAGGUGCCGAGCGUUAGGCGGAAUCACUGGGCUUAAAGCGUGUGUAGGCGGGUCGUUAAGUGUCUUGUGAAAUCCCCCCGGCUCAACCGGGGAAUGGCUGGGCAUACUGGCGAUCUUGAGCAGUCUAGGGGCAGAUGGAACAAGUGGUGGAGCGGUGAAAUGCGUAGAUAUCACUUGGAACGCCAACGGUGAAGACAGUCUGCUGGGGACUUGCUGACGCUGAGACACGAAAGCCAGGGGAGCGAACGGG
rnacentral:rRNA from 1 species